rnacentral:rRNA from 1 species
UUGAACGCUGGCGGCAUGCUUUACACAUGCAAGUCGAACGGUAGACCCUUUCGGGGGUUGAGAGUGGCGAACGGGUGAGUAAUGCGUCGGAACGUACCGAGUAAUGGGGGAUAACGCACCGAAAGGUGUGCUAAUACCGCAUACGCCCUCCGGGGGAAAGCAGGGGAUCGUAAGACCUUGCGUUAUUCGAGCGGCCGACGUCUGAUUAGCUAGUUGGUGAGGUAAUGGCUCACCAAGGCGACGAUCAGUAGCGGGUCUGAGAGGAUGAUCCGCCACACUGGAACUGAGACACGGUCCAGACUCCUACGGGAGGCAGCAGUGGGGAAUUUUGGACAAUGGGGGCAACCCUGAUCCAGCCAUUCCGCGUGAGUGAAGAAGGCCUUCGGGUUGUAAAGCUCUUUCAGCUGGAACGAAACGGUACGCUCUAACAUAGUGUGCUAAUGACGGUACCAGCAGAAGAAGCACCGGCUAACUACGU